UGCUUCCCGUGCAAGGUGCCACCAAAAGGUUA
rnacentral:piRNA from 1 species